UACGUAGGGGGCAAGCGUUGUCCGGAUUCAUUGGGCGUAAAGGGUGCGUAGGCGGCGCGGUAAGUCGGGUGUGAAAUCUUGGAGCUUAACUCCGAAACUGCAUUCGAUACUGCCGUGCUUGAGGACUGGAGAGGAGACUGGAAUUUACGGUGUAGCGGUGAAAUGCGUAGAUAUCGUAAGGAAGACCAGUGGCGAAGGCGGGUCUCUGGACAGUUCCUGACGCUGAGGCACGAAGGUCAGGGGAGCAAACGGG
rnacentral:rRNA from 1 species